CCUACGGGGGGCGGCAGUGAGGAAUAUUGGGCAAUGCCCGCAAGGGUGACCCAGCAACGCCGCGUGGAGGAUGAAGGCCGUAAGGUUGUAAACUCCUGUUAGAGGGGAAGAAUAGUACCGGUUGGACCGGUAUAUGACUGUACCCUCAGAGAAAGCCCCGGCUAACUACGUGCCAGCAGCCCCGGUC
rnacentral:rRNA from 1 species